GAUGAACGCUGGCGGCGUGCCUAAUACAUGCAAGUCGAGCGAAUGGAUUAAGAGCUUGCUCUUAUGAAGUUAGCGGCGGACGGGUGAGUAACACGUGGGUAACCUGCCCAUAAGACUGGGAUAACUCCGGGAAACCGGGGCUAAUACCGGAUAACAUUUUGAACCGCAUGGUUCGAAAUUGAAAGGCGGCUUCGGCUGUCACUUAUGGAUGGACCCGCGUCGCAUUAGCUAGUUGGUGAGGUAACGGCUCACAAAGGCAACGAUGCGUAGCCGACCUGAGAGGGUGAUCGGCCACACUGGGACUGAGACACGGCCCAGACUCCUACGGGAGGCAGCAGUAGGGAAUCUUCCGCAAAGGACGAAAGUCUGACGGAGCAACGCCGCGUGAGUGACGAAGGCUUUCGGGUCGUAAAACUCUGUUGUUAGGGAAGAACAAGUGCUAGUUGAAUAAGCUGGCACCUUGACGGUACCUAACCAGAAAGCCACGGCUAACUACGUGCCAGCCGCCGCUGUAA
rnacentral:rRNA from 1 species